rnacentral:rRNA from 1 species
GAUGAACGCUGGCGGCGUGCCUAACACAUGCAAGUCGAACGGGCUUAUACUGAAACCUAGUGAUUUAUAAGCCAGUGGCGGACGGGUGAGUAACGCGUGGAUAACCUGCCGUAUACAGGGGGAUAACAUCUGGAAACAGGUGCUAAAACCGCAUAAGCGCACAGCUUCGCAUGAAGCAGUGUGAAAAACUCCGGUGGUAUACGAUGGAUCCGCGUCUGAUUAGCCAGUUGGCGGGGUAACGGCCCACCAAAGCGACGAUCAGUAGCCGGCCUGAGAGGGUGGACGGCCACAUUGGGACUGAGACACGGCCCAGACUCCUACGGGAGGCAGCAGUGGGGAAUAUUGCACAAUGGGGAAACCCUGAUGCAGCGACGCCGCGUGGGUGAAGAAGGCCUUAGGGUUGUAAAGUUCUUUCGCCGUCGAGGAUAAUGACUGUAGACGGAUAAGAAGCCCCGGCUAACUUCGUGCCAGCCGCCGCGGUAA